GGGGCUCUCGGCUAGCUUGGUCUAGGCUUGUAGACUUGGGCUCUAUAGACUCCGGUUCAAAUCCGGAGAGCCCCACCA
rnacentral:tRNA from 2 species